GAUGAACGCUGGCGGCGUGCCUAACACAUGCAAGUCGAGCGAAGCGGGGACGGGGGAGUAACACGUGGAGAACCUCCUAUAAGACUGGGAGAACUUCCGGAAACCGGAACCAAUCCCGAAAAUGAGAGGUGGAUGCACGUGGCAGUAGCUGGUGGGUAAGGUAACGGCUUACCAAGGCAACGAUGCCUAGCCGACCUGCGAGGGUGACAGGCCACACGGGAACUGAGACACGGUCCAGACUCCGACGGGAGGCAGCAGUAGGGAAUGUGCCGCAAUGGGCGAAAGCCUGACGGAGCAACGCCGCGUGAGUGAUGAAGGUCUUCGGAUCGUAAAGCUCUGUUAUUAGGGAGGCGGUACCUAAUCAGGAAGCCACGGCUAACUACGUGCCAGCAGCCGCGGUAAUUC
rnacentral:rRNA from 1 species